UCCAAAGGUAGUGAGCUAUCCCAAUUGAUUGUCCACAGUCAGUUACAAAUCAAAUUCCUUGCCCUACUCUAUCUCCUCUUCUCACUACUGAAACUGA
rnacentral:sRNA from 1 species